GGGGAUUUAGCUCAGAGGUAGAGCACUUGCCUAGCAAGUACAAGGCCCUGGGUUCAGUCCCCA
rnacentral:tRNA from 1 species